UGGGCAACCUGCCCUCAGCUCUGGGAUAACUCCGGGAAACCGGUGCUAAUACUGGAUAUCGACUUCUGCCUCGCAUGGGGUGUGGUUGAAAGUUUUUCGGCUGGGGAUGGGCCCGCGGCCUAUCAGCUUGUUGGUGGGGUGAUGGCCUACCAAGGCGACGACGGGUAGCCGGCCUGAGAGGGCGACCGGCCACACUGGGACUGAGACACGGCCCAGACCUCCGUACGGGAGGCA
rnacentral:rRNA from 1 species